rnacentral:rRNA from 1 species
CAUAGGUUAAUGAGGCGAACCGGGGGAACUGAAACAUCUAAGUACCCCGAGGAAAAGAAAUCAACCGAGAUUCCCCCAGUAGCGGCGAGCGAACGGGGAGCAGCCCAGAGCCUGAAUCAGUAUGUGUGUUAGUGGAAGCGUCUGGAAAGGCGCGCGAUACAGGGUGACAGCCCCGUACACAAAAAUGCACAUGCUGUGAGCUCGAUGAGUAGGGCGGGACACGUGGUAUCCUGUCUGAAUAUGGGGGGACCAUCCUCCAAGGCUAAAUACUCCUGACUGACCGAUAGUGAACCAGUACCGUGAGGGAAAGGCGAAAAGAACCCCGGCGAGGGGAGUGAAAAAGAACCUGAAACCGUGUACGUACAAGCAGUGGGAGCUCGCUUAGGCGUGUGACUGCGUACCUUUUGUAUAAUGGGUCAGCGACUUAUAUUCUGUAGCAAGGUUAACCGAAUAGGGGAGCCGAAGGGAAACCGAGUCUUAACUGGGCGUUAAGUUGCAGGGUAUAGACCCGAAACCCGGUGAUCUAGCCAUGGGCAGGUUGAAGGUUGGGUAACACUAACUGGAGGACCGAACCGACUAAUGUUGAAAAAUUAGCGGAUGACUUGUGGCUGGGGGUGAAAGGCCAAUCAAACCGGGAGAUAGCUGGUUCUCCCCGAAAGCUAUUUAGGUAGCGCCUCGUGAAUUCAUCUCCGGGGGUAGAGCACUGUUUCGGCAAGGGGGUCAUCCCGACUUACCAACCCGAUGCAAACUGCGAAUACCGGAGAAUGUUAUCACGGGAGACACACGGCGGGUGCUAACGUCCGUCGUGAAGAGGGAAACAACCCAGACCGCCAGCUAAGGUCCCAAAGUCAUGGUUAAGUGGGAAACGAUGUGGGAAGGCCCAGACAGCCAGGAUGUUGGCUUAGAAGCAGCCAUCAUUUAAAGAAAGCGUAAUAGCUCACUGGUCGAGUCGGCCUGCGCGGAAGAUGUAACGGGGCUAAACCAUGCACCGAAGCUGCGGCAGCGACGCUUAUGCGUUGUUGGGUAGGGGAGCGUUCUGUAAGCCUGCGAAGGUGUGCUGUGAGGCAUGCUGGAGGUAUCAGAAGUGCGAAUGCUGACAUAAGUAACGAUAAAGCGGGUGAAAAGCCCGCUCGCCGGAAGACCAAGGGUUCCUGUCCAACGUUAAUCGGGGCAGGGUGAGUCGACCCCUAAGGCGAGGCCGAAAGGCGUAGUCGAUGGGAAACAGGUUAAUAUUCCUGUACUUGGUGUUACUGCGAAGGGGGGACGGAGAAGGCUAUGUUGGCCGGGCGACGGUUGUCCCGGUUUAAGCGUGUAGGCUGGUUUUCCAGGCAAAUCCGGAAAAUCAAGGCUGAGGCGUGAUGACGAGGCACUACGGUGCUGAAGCAACAAAUGCCCUGCUUCCAGGAAAAGCCUCUAAGCAUCAGGUAACAUCAAAUCGUACCCCAAACCGACACAGGUGGUCAGGUAGAGAAUACCAAGGCGCUUGAGAGAACUCGGGUGAAGGAACUAGGCAAAAUGGUGCCGUAACUUCGGGAGAAGGCACGCUGAUAUGUAGGUGAAGUCCCUCGCGGAUGGAGCUGAAAUCAGUCGAAGAUACCAGCUGGCUGCAACUGUUUAUUAAAAACACAGCACUGUGCAAACACGAAAGUGGACGUAUACGGUGUGACGCCUGCCCGGUGCCGGAAGGUUAAUUGAUGGGGUUAGCGCAAGCGAAGCUCUUGAUCGAAGCCCCGGUAAACGGCGGCCGUAACUAUAACGGUCCUAAGGUAGCGAAAUUCCUUGUCGGGUAAGUUCCGACCUGCACGAAUGGCGUAAUGAUGGCCAGGCUGUCUCCACCCGAGACUCAGUGAAAUUGAACUCGCUGUGAAGAUGCAGUGUACCCGCGGCAAGACGGAAAGACCCCGUGAACCUUUACUAUAGCUUGACACUGAACAUUGAGCCUUGAUGUGUAGGAUAGGUGGGAGGCUUUGAAGUGUGGACGCCAGUCUGCAUGGAGCCGACCUUGAAAUACCACCCUUUAAUGUUUGAUGUUCUAACGUUGACCCGUAAUCCGGGUUGCGGACAGUGUCUGGUGGGUAGUUUGACUGGGGCGGUCUCCUCCUAAAGAGUAACGGAGGAGCACGAAGGUUGGCUAAUCCUGGUCGGACAUCAGGAGGUUAGUGCAAUGGCAUAAGCCAGCUUGACUGCGAGCGUGACGGCGCGAGCAGGUGCGAAAGCAGGUCAUAGUGAUCCGGUGGUUCUGAAUGGAAGGGCCAUCGCUCAACGGAUAAAAGGUACUCCGGGGAUAACAGGCUGAUACCGCCCAAGAGUUCAUAUCGACGGCGGUGUUUGGCACCUCGAUGUCGGCUCAUCACAUCCUGGGGCUGAAGUAGGUCCCAAGGGUAUGGCUGUUCGCCAUUUAAAGUGGUACGCGAGCUGGGUUUAGAACGUCGUGAGACAGUUCGGUCCCUAUCUGCCGUGGGCGCUGGAGAACUGAGGGGGGCUGCUCCUAGUACGAGAGGACCGGAGUGGACGCAUCACUGGUGUUCGGGUUGUCAUGCCAAUGGCACUGCCCGGUAGCUAAAUGCGGAAGAGAUAAGUGCUGAAAGCAUCUAAGCACGAAACUUGCCCCGAGAUGAGUUCUCCCUGACUCCUUGAGAGUCCUGAAGGAACGUUGAAGACGACGACGUUGAUAGGCCGGGUGUGUAAGCGCAGCGAUGCGUUGAGCUAACCGGUACUAAUGAACCGU